rnacentral:lncRNA from 1 species
GAGGUGGCAAGAAUGAGCCAGAGCCGGAACAGCCCAUCCCACGCAAGGUGCAGAUCCGCUCACUGCCCAGCCUGGAAGACAUUGACCCUGAUGUACUGGACAGCAUGCAUUCACUGGGCUGCUUCCGAGACCGCAACAAGCUGCUGCAGGACCUGCUAUCUGAGGAGGAGAAUCAGGAAAAGAUGAUUUAUUUCCUCCUCCUGGACCGGAAAGAACGGUACCCCAGCCAUGAGGAUGAGGACCUGCCCCCCAGGAAUGAGAUAGACCCUCCUCGGAAGCGCGUGG